UGGGUAAUAUUGGACAAUGGGCGCAAGCCUGAUCCAGCCAUGCCGCGUGUGUGAAGAAGGCCUUUUGGUUGUAAAGCACUUUAAGCGAGGAGGAGGCUACUUGGAUUAAUAUUCUAGGAUAGUGGACGUUACUCGCAUAAUAAGCACCGGCUAACUCUGUGCCAGCUGCCGCGGUAAUACAGAGGGUGCGAGCGUUAAUCGGAUUUACUGGGCGUAAAGCGUGCGUAGGCGGCUUCUUAAGUCGGAUGUGAAAUCCCUGAGCUUAACUUGGGAAUUGCAUUCGAUACUAGGAAGCUGGAGUAUGGGAGAGGAUGGUAGAAUUCCAGGUGUAGCGGUGAAAUGCGUAGAGAUCUGGAGGAAUACCGAUGGCGAAGGCAGCCAUCUGGCCUAAUACUGACGAUGAAGUACGAAAGCAUGGGGAGCAAACAGG
rnacentral:rRNA from 1 species